UGGCGAUGGACGAGGAUACGCACGAAAGAGAGGAGGACAGAGUGCGCCGGACCUGUGUUUGUCCCGUCUGACGGAAUGGGCGCCAAGGGACGGGCAAGUGAUGUGGGAAACCUGUGCUGAAACUGUCAAUGCUGUCGGGCUGCAGGGCUUUUCGACGCGUCACUGCUUCCUUCUGUUUUAGAGGAGGAAGAUCAUGACGUGGAUGGACGUCUUCUGCUGACAUGAUCCUGCAUGCAAAGCAAAAAGUUAGAUCUGAGAUUAAUCUGGUGACUGGAUAAUUGCCCGUGUAAACUGUUGAUGUGCAAAUGACACGAGUAAAAAUCAAUGCUUCUCCUCCUCACCUCCAUAAAUAUGAUGAUGUAUUGAGCUGGAAACUUGUCCGUCCUCAGAAACACGUCUUAGUUGCUGGUAAAACGGAACCAAGUCAGGUGUUUGAGAGAGGUUUGGUCCCUUUCAACCAGCUACUGCGCCGUGAAUUCAACCAGCAACAGCAACAACUAAAAACAGGUGGAUUUGCAUCCAAAAUAUCACAAUAUAAAAAAGUUUCUUAAAUAUGUGCUUAAUGCAUAACUGCCAUUUUAACCUAUAUCACAAAAACACUGGUGUUGUGUAUUAUUAUGUUUAAUAGCAAUGAUAUAAAAUUUGUGCAAUAUUUCAGUUCUGCUCUCUACAGGAACGAACAGGUAAAUCUUCAUCAGCCAAAUGUUUCUAUAUUAUAGAUGUUUUCUAAAUACAUGAACAUAAAUCCAGUUACUUUUUUUUUAAACCAGUCCUGUGUUUUCCAUCUUGUGUCUUGUAAUAUGAGCACAUUUUGAUAAAAAAAAAAUUUAAAUAAAAGCUAGCAUUUGUCUUUA